GUAUAAUCUGUUAGCAGCCCCUCCCCCCCACCCCCAAAAAAGAAAAAAAAAAUGCCCCGUAUCCCAGCGAUUAGUGAGCUACGUCGAAGUCUUUCUGCAGACAACAUUCACGAUCUCAAGAUGGUGCCAUCAUCUAGUGUCGGUGAAGUGGAAGGAGAGAUGCGUCAGCGUACGCCAUCUUCGCCAUCUACCGUCUUCGGGUCUCAGAACGUUGUCAUAAAUAAUGCAGGUUCAGGAUCUCUGACAGUCAACAUCACUGGCAUGGACAACGAACCACAUGAGAGACUUGAAGCUGAUGCCAGUAUCAACAACGAUGAAUCCGAAGAACAGAAAAGACCGAACAAGACGAAGAAUAUCCUUCUUAUGGCACUAAUGGUCCUGAAUGUUGUCUACAGGAGAGACUUAUUAGGGUAUGCGAUGACAAUUGUACACCAUACAGAUGUCAUAAUACCUGUUUUUAUUUGUAUCGUGAAUGUACUAGUUGUCCUAUGUGUACUAGGAAGAUUUAGACACUAAAAACUGAAAGUGAAAGUGCGCAUUGUUAAGGGGAGUAAACCCCUUUAAAAAUCCCUGUGAACAACGAUUUAUAUUGAAGUCAUGAAGUAUCGUCCAGGGGAGUAA